UAUAUAUGGACACCCUUUUACAGGCUGAUCCCAGUAAGCCAGUUCUUGUGGCAGGAGACCCAGAACGAAACCAUGUUGAAAAGUGAAGAAAGAAGGAGGAAUCACUUAUCAUAUGAACCAGAUCAAGGAUUCAUGGAAGCUGGGAAAAGCUUUAGGAGUGACACCAAUGAAGGCUUUGUAAUAAGUAAAUGAAUAAAUUGAUAAUCAAAAACACAUUAGAAUACAUUUAUGGAGCAAAGUUAUCUUCCUUUGAUAUACUUUCACAGUAGUUCUUAUUUUUUUUCUUAUUUUUUUAUUUCUUUCUUUUUGAGGGUGCAAGAGUAAAAAGAUUGCUUUCUUUUGAAUUUCUGUUUUCAUUUGGUUGAGUUACUGAUAUCUUAGGCUGUUCUGUAUACAGUAUGGUGUGAAUAUUUUUUGUGCUGAUUUUAUAAAUGGAAAUUAGUUAUUGCUAUUAUGUUCUGAAAGUACUGAAUGUUACAGAUUAAGCAUUUCUGAAGAUCAGAUAGUCACCUUGGUCCAACAUGGUACAAAUGACAUAAGUCAGUUUAGUCUGUAUAUAAUCAUAUCAGUGAUGGUUCAUGUCUUGGUAGAAUAGAUUGACUUAAUGACCUGGUACAUUUAGUUUCAUUGCAAAGGUUGUAUAUGUUUUUGUCCAUAUUUGUCAGAAAAAUGUUUUUCAGUG